GGCACUCAGUUGAAGACUUCAUAUACUGGCUUAGAAAAAGAACGAGAGGCAGUGCCGGCCUGAAUUCAGCCUUCGUCCGUCACCUUCAUUGUUAACCAAACGUUUUGUUUCUACCGUGUCAGUUUUUGUAUAGUUCAGAUAGCUUCGAAACUGCACAUCGUGCUUAUGUUUGUUCAUACCAUGUUGUUCUACUACAGUAUCUAAUCAAGGGUGCAUUUACAGAAUUGUUGAUGUUAAGACACAUGGACGAGUGGUCACAUAUCGGAACCAGUAUUGCAGGAUUAUUGCUUAUUUUAUCCUGUGCUCUAUUUUGUCUAGAAUAUUUCAAAAGGUAAAAUUGUACCUAAGUUUGUUCAUGCUCUUUGCGAUAUUAUAGUAUCUGUCCAGCGUGCCUUUGCAGCUUUGUUAAGGUUAAGAACACUUGAUGAAAGGCCACACAGUCUUAUGGCCCUUGCAAGAUUAUUGCUCGCUUAUUCCUGCGUCACAUUUUGUCCAGUCAGAACUGCUAGGAUUUCUUGUAAAGGCCAAGUUUGUUCACUCUAUUUUGUAAUGUUACAGUAUGCAGUAUUUUCUUUUCCUUGAUAUUGCUAGUUUUUCUGUAAGACCAGCAACCAAUGGUGCCAUUAUUUAGUUUUUUUUAUUUUUGUUUACCUUUUUAGUUGUUGAAUCUGUCAAUCUGUAAUUCAUCAACACUGUUGGCCCUUUUCAUUGUAUAUAUCACGCACCUAGCCGCAAGGUGCCCUCAUCAAAGGUUGUGAUCACUAUUGAUGAAUGGAAUGUUUCUGCAAUUCGCUGUUCUGGACAUGUACAUUUACCUUGAACAAUAUGUAAACACAUUUUUCGUAGAAGAAAUUGUAGUGUUAAUUUGAUUCUGGAACAUCGCUUAUAUGAAAGCCUAUGUGUUGUUUCUCUUAUGAUGUGCAAUAAAUAUUUGCAGUACUUUU